rnacentral:rRNA from 1 species
CAGGUCGAAAUUCCUGUACCACCGUAAUCCGUUAUGAGCAAUGGGGUGACGCAGUAGGGUAGUGACGCGGACGGAUGGAUGUCCGUCUAAGCAGUGAGGCUGGUGUGUAGGUAAAUCCGCACAUCGUAAGGCUGGGCUGUGAUGGGGAGCGAAAAUUACAGUAGCGAAGGUCAUGAUCUCAGACUGCCAAGAAAAGCCUCUAGCCAGGAGAAGGUGCCCGUACCGCAAACCCGAGGGGGCCGCAGUGAAAAGGCCCAAGCGACUGUUUAGCAAAAACACAGGUCUGUGCGAAGCCGCAAGGCGAAGUAUACGGGCUGACGCCUGCCCGGUGCUGGAAGGUUAAGGGGAGUGGUAAGCUCGCAAGAGCGAAGCUAUGAACCGAAGCCCCAGUAAACGGCGGCCGUAACUAUAACGGUCCUAAGGUAGCGAAAUUCCUUGUCAGGUAAAUUCUGACCCGCACGAAUGGCGUAACGACUUGGGCGCUGUCUCAAC